CCUACGGGAGGCAGCAGUGGGGGAUAUUGCACAAUGGGGGAAACCCUGAUGCAGCGAAGCCGCGUGAGUGAAGAAGUAUUUCGGUAUGUAAAGCUCUAUCAGCAGGGAAGAAAAAAGACGGUACCUGACUAAGAAGCACCGGCUAACUACGUGCCAGCAGCCGCGGUAAUACGUAGGGGGCAAGCGUUAUCCGGAUUUACUGGGUGUAAGGGGAGCGUAGACGGCAAUACAAGUCGGAAGUGAAAUAGCCGGGCUCAACCUGGGAACGGCUUUGGAAACUGUAUGGCUGGAGUGCUGGAGAGGUAAGCGGAAUUCCUAGUGUAGCGGUGAAAUGCGUAGAUAUUAGGAGGAACACCAGUGGCGAAGGCGGCUUACUGGACAGUAACUGACGUUGAGGCUCGAAAGCGUGGGGAGCAAACAGGAUUAGAUACCCUUGUAGUC
rnacentral:rRNA from 1 species